UCCGGUUUGUCACCGGCAGUCUCCCUAGAGUUCCCGACCGAAUCGCUGGCAAAUAGGGACAAGGGUUGCGCUCGUUACGGGACUUAACCCAACAUUUCACAACACGAGCUGACGACAGCCAUGCAGCACCUGUGACGGCCCGGCCGAACCGAUGGCCCCCCUCGCGGGAGGCCGCAACCGCCAUGUCAAGGGCUGGUAAGGUUCUGCGCGUUGCGUCGAAUUAAACCACAUGCUCCACCGCUUGUGCGGGCCCCCGUCAAUUCCUUUGAGUUUUAACCUUGCGGCCGUACUCCCCAGGCGGUGGGCUUAACGCGUUAGCUGCGACACCGAGGGGCAUGCCCCCCGACGUCUAGCCCACAUCGUUUAGGGCGUGGACUAC
rnacentral:misc_RNA from 1 species